GAGGUGGUGUUUGAAAGGCGGGAGGUCUCCGAGGCUUCGGGACAGAACCCACAGGACUGAUAAUGGGAAGCGGCAAGAGAUACUUCAUAUUUUAAAAAUAGAAGAACCUGCCCAAGUGUGCCACACUGUCAGGAUCAGACAUGGAGAGAUGGAUGGCACAAAGCAGGGCUGGGCAGCCUGCGUCUGUCACCCUGGCUGAGCUGGGAGGCUGAUAAGAAGCUGCUGUGAAAGGGAAGCGUUCUUCUGCUGAGGUCCAGCCCUCCUGAACUUCAGCAGUUGUUGCUAAGAACCGGCUUCAUGAAGCGAGGUUUCAAUUCUCGAACAUGAUGAUGCAGACAGACAUUAAAUGUACCAAAUUGCAGCUCAUUUUUGCCAAGGAAAUAAGUACAUAUAGUUCUGACUCUAAAAUGUAUAGCUUUUAUAUAUAAUUUGUUUCAUCUUCAGUGACUUUACAUUGUUUUAGUCUCUCUGGGCAAAAAGGUGCCUUUUAUUUCAAGAGGUUUUCUUUUUUAAGCUGCAUUUCUAAACACUUACCUUGGUUAUUUUGUUCCACACCUGAAAUCAAAUUGUUUUUCCUCUCCUCUCUUUUCCAAA